GGAGCCUAUUGUAGUCGCCAGGGGGCAUGCUGCCCACACCCCAGCACCUCUUGAUGGUUUAAAAGCACUUUCACAUUAUCUGCUCAUUUCCUCAAACACAGAGGGGCUCUGACAAGAGUCUGCAAAGGCUUGGCCAAGCAGACUGCCACAUCUCUGGCCCCUCGUCAGAAAUCCCAUUCUUUGCUUUCUGAGAAGCCAAGCCAAGUUCUCCCAGCUGGAGAUUCACCCAAACCACCACAAGGGGAGGGGGGCACCUGAGAGGACCUGUGCCCGGGAGGUGUGGCCUCCCUUCCCUUGGCAUCUGGAGGGUCUUUCCCUUGGUGACUCUGAGCCUGAUCUGGUUAUCUCAGGAGGCUAACUUCAGGUUCCCUUACCCAGCAGAGCCCACUGAGAUCUAACUGUAGCCACAGAGCGUGGACUUCACUCCAUGUCCUGUUUUCCAGACAAUGACACUAAAGUACAAACCAGCUCAGGAAUUGGCCCCAGGGAUCAGGCCAAAGCUGACUGAGUGUCCUAACUUCAAGGUCAUGAAUCUUGGGCAGCAAUGUUGUUUGUACUUGAGUAACCCUUUCCUGAUGAUAAGGGGCUGCUUAAGUUUCAUCUGUUUCUAAAGGAAAGUGUUUAUGCCUUUGAAGGGGACUUCAUUAUAAAGAAGCCGGGUUCUAACAGUA
rnacentral:lncRNA from 1 species